ACGGGAUAUUAUCUCCACAUAUGUGCCAUCACUAGAUAUAAGUGGUAAACGAAACCCGUAAAUUAGUUAGUUGGCACUUGUGUCCAGAAGUCUGCAGAGGUGGUGCCAUAGACCAGUGUGGUAUUACCUUUGAUGGCGUCUAACAUCU
rnacentral:snoRNA from 1 species